UACGUAGGCAGCAAGCGUUGUUCGGAGUUACUGGGCGUAAAGCGUGCGCAGGCGGUUUUGUAAGUCUGUCGUGAAAUCCCCGGGCUCAACCUGGGAAUUGCGAUGGAGACUGCAAGGCUAGAAUCUGGCAGAGGGGGGUAGAAUUCCACGUGUAGCAGUGAAAUGCGUAGAGAUGUGGAGGAACACCGAUGGCGAAGGCAGCCCCCUGGGUCAAGAUUGACGCUCAUGCACGAAAGCGUGGGGAGCAAACGAGG
rnacentral:rRNA from 1 species